UACGAAGGGUGCUAGCGUUGUUCGGAUUUACUGGGCGUAAAGCGUGCGUAGGUGGCUUUACAAGUCAGGGGUGAAAUCCUGGGGCUCAACCCCAGAAUUGCCUUUGAAACUGUAGAGCUAGAGUAUCGGAGGGGAUAGCGGAAUUGCUAAUGUAGAGGUGAAAUUCGUAGAUAUUAGCAGGAACACCGGUGGCGAAGGCGGCUAUCUGGACGAUUACUGACACUCUGGCACGAAAGCGUGGGGAUCAAACAGG
rnacentral:rRNA from 1 species